rnacentral:rRNA from 1 species
GACGAACGCUGGCGGCGUGCUUAACACAUGCAAGUCGAACGGAAAGGCCCUGCUUUUGUGGGGUGCUCGAGUGGCGAACGGGUGAGUAACACGUGAGUAACCUGCCCUUUACUUUGGGAUAACUUCAGGAAACUGGGGCUAAUACCGGAUAGGAGCUCCUGCUGCAUGGUGGGGGUUGGAAAGUUUCGGCGGUUGGGGAUGGACUCGCGGCUUAUCAGCUUGUUGGUGGGGUAAAGGCCUACCCAGGCGUCGAUGGGUAGCCGGCCUGAGAGGGGGAUCGGCGACACUGGAACUGGGACACGGUCCAGAGUCCUACGGGAGGCAGCAGUGGGGAAUAUUGGGCAGUGGGCGGAAGCCUGGUCCAGCCGUGCCGCGUGUGUGAAGGAGGUCUUCGGAUUGGGAAGCACUUUAAGUUGGGAGGAAGGGCAGUAAGUUAAGACCUUGCUGUUUUGACGUUACCAACAGAAGAAGCACCGGCUAACUACGUG